rnacentral:rRNA from 1 species
UACGAAGGGGGCUAGCGUUGUUCGGAAUUACUGGGCGUAAAGCGCACGUAGGCGGAUAUUUAAGUCAGGGGUGAAAUCCCAGAGCUCAACUCUGGAACUGCCUUUGAUACUGGGUAUCUUGAGUAUGGAAGAGGUAAGUGGAAUUGCGAGUGUAGAGGUGAAAUUCGUAGAUAUUCGCAGGAACACCAGUGGCGAAGGCGGCUUACUGGUCCAUUACUGACGCUGAGGAGCGAAAGCGUGGGGAGCGAACAGG